CAUGGGAUCAUCUUUUUUCUUCUUAUAACAGAUUUCUACAAUCAAAUAUGAGAUUUUACCUUCUGUGGCCUGUAAACCGAUUGCUGGAAGGCUCAAGUUUUCAUUACAUGUACUAUUGACCAUGCACUAUGUAUAGCAGGAUACCCUUCUGUGCAUGCCAUGGUACACACAGAGUGUCUCUAUGCAACACCAGGGCAUAAGUAGGAGAAUUGAGAUUUUUACAAUCAAAUAUGAUAUUUUACCUUCUUUGGCCUGUCAACCCAGUGCUGGAAGGGUCAGAUUUCCAUUACGUGUACUAUUGACCAUGCGCUAUGCAUGGCAGGAUACCCUUCUGUGCAUGCCAUGGUACACACAGAGUGUUCCAUGCAACACCAGGGCAUAAGUGGGAGAACUGAGGUAAUACAUUUUCUUAUAUAUACUUGCAGGUUGAUUAGGAUGAUCAUUCCAAUGGGACUGGCAUCUAACAUGAUUAUGCCUUCCUGAGAUAUGCAUAAUUUCUUCAAAUUAGUAAAAUGUGUCUAGCCUUGUAGUGCACACUGUGGCUUUUAGCUCCCCAUUCUUAACCGUAUUGGGUUGUUCUGCCAUGUGUGCCAGAGAAAGUCUCCCCAGACAGCCUGAGGUCUCACUGUGACUGUUCUGGUUCGCAGAGAGAGAAACAUGAA